GACGAACGCUGGCGGCGUGCUUAACACAUGCAAGUCGAACGGAAAGGCCCUGCUUUUGUGGGGGGCUCGAGUGGGGAACGGGUGAGUAACACGUGAGUAACCUGCCCGUGACUUUGGGAUAACUUCAGGAAACUGGGGCGAAUACCGGAUAGGAGCUCCUGCUGCAUGGUGGGGGUUGGAAAGGUUCGGCGGUUGGGGAUGGACUCGCGCCUUAUCAGCUUGUGGGUGGGGUAGUGGCUUACCAAGGCUUUGACGGGUAGCCGGCCUGAGAGGGUGACCGGCCACAUUGGGACUGAGCUACGGCCCAGCCUCCUACGGGACGCAGCAGUGGGGAAUAUUGCACAAUGGGCGGAAGCCUGAUGCAGCAACGCCGCGUGCGGGAUGACGGCCUUCGGGUUGUAAACCGCUUUCGCCUGUGACGAAACGUGAGUGACGGUAAUGGGUAAAGAAGCACCGGCUAACUACGUG
rnacentral:rRNA from 1 species